UAGUUUAGGAACUAGUUAGAGAUGGUUAGUUUAGGUGCUAGAGAUGGUUAUUUUAGGUACUAGGCCUAUAUAUGAUUAGUUUAGGUGUUAGAGGCGGUUGGUUUCGGUGUUAAGAUGAUUAGUUUAGGUCUUAAAGAUGGUUAGAGGUGGUUAGUUUAGGUUAGAGCUGGUUAGUUUAGGUUAGAGGUGGUUAGUUUAGGUUAGAGGUGGUUAGUUUAGAGGUGGUUAGUUUAGGUUAGCGGUGGUUAGUUUAGGUUAGCGGUGGUUAGUUUAGGUUAGAGGUGGUUAGUUUAGGUUAGAGGUGGUUAGUUUAGGUUAGAGCUGGUUAGUUUAG
ensembl:lncRNA